GACAGAGGGUGCAAACGUUGUUCGGAAUUACUGGGCGUAAAGCGCGUGUAGGCGGCUCUGUAAGUCGGGUGUGAAAUCCCACGGCUCAACCGUGGAAGUGCACUCGAAACUACAGGGCUAGAGUCCUGGAGAGGAAGGUGGAAUGCUUGGUGUAGAGGUGAAAUUCGUAGAUAUCAAGCGGAACACCGGUGGCGAAGGCGGCCUUCUGGACAGUGACUGACGCUGAGACGCGAAAGCGUGGGGAGCAAACAGG
rnacentral:rRNA from 2 species